rnacentral:rRNA from 1 species
UGGGGAAUAUUGCACAAUGGGGGAAACCCGUGAUGCAGCGACGCCGCGUGAGUGAAGAAGUGUUUCGGCACGUAAAGCUCUAUCAGCAGGGAAGAAAAUGACGGUACCUGACUAAGAAGCCCCGGCUAACUACGUGCCAGCAGCCGCGGUAAUACGUAGGGGGCAAGCGUUAUCCGGAUUUACUGGGUGUAAAGGGAACGUAGACGGCUGUGCAAGUCUGAAGUGAAAGCCCGGGGCUUAACCCCGGGACUGCUUUGGAAACUGUAUAGCUUGAGUGCAGGAGAGGUAAGCGGAAUUCCUAGUGUAGCGGUGAAAUGCGUAGAUAUUAGGAGGAACACCAGUGGCGAAGGCGGCUUACUGGACUGCAACUGACGUUGAGGCUCGAAAGCGUGGGGAGCAAACAGGAUUAGAUACCCUGGUAGU